CAUCUUCCGCCGUCCUGCUCACCGCGUUACUGCGGGGCGUAUAUAUGUCGCUUCUACAAGAGUGGAGCGAUCGUGAAAAAUUGUUGGGGUGAGGAGUGCGAGGCACGUAAAUCAUACAGCAGCGAAAUGGUCGUGAACUUAAAACAUCUCACUCCUGGAGGAUUUCAUACGUGCAGAGUUACCCUCAGGUACAACAAUGAAGUCGCAAAACAAAUCGGAUUCAACGCCAUUCAAUAGCAAACACCCUGUACCACAUGGUCUGAAAUGCUUCCUGUCAGAGGAAAACACGAGCGACAAAAGAAUCGUCCUCAACUGACGCAUCCUUCAGCUGAGACUUGGAUUGGUGGUCUUCGCAAUGGGUGAAAAAAAAAA